GCCAGGUGUGGUGGCACACACCUGUAAUCCCAGUGACUCAGGAGGCUGAGACAGGAGGAUCACAAGUUCAAAGCCAGCCUCAGCAAUGUCGAGGUGCUAAGCAACUCAGUGAGACCCUGUCUCAA
rnacentral:sRNA from 1 species